UUCGUCAAUCCCGAAGAGUGAUUUCGAAAAAUUGAAAAAAGAGUAGCUCCGUUGUUGUACGCUUUCGACGCCUCGAGGGGCAACGUUAACACUUGGAAUUCGUUCAUUGUUCGAUUCUCGAUACGGUGAAUAAAGUUGCAUUCUGAAGGGCCAUCGUCGUGCCUCAAAAACGAAGGGGUCCGCGAGUCGUAGCGCUCUGUCGUCGAGAGUAAAGCUGCCGAGGGGCAGAAGGGAGUGAACCUCGCCGACCGUAGGAAGGGGAAGCAGCGAAGAGUCGUGACGUCAGCCCUCUUGUCUAAUCGUUCAGCCGUCUGUCCGACGACGGCGGCGACGCCGACGACGACGGUGACGAUCGACGGUGACGGUCGACGGUGACGGUCGACCGCCGUCAGACGUUGUAUCAAAGAGAGAGUGCACGCAGACUUCGACGUUACGUUUCAAUGUCAUGGUUGCGUCGACUCGAAUCGACCCACCAUCCAUCCCACUGCGUAAACUUUCAUCUCUAUUCAUUCGUGUCAGGAAUGAAAAUUGAAAGGUUAAAAGGUGGGUAGAGAAAGGGAUCGAAAGGUCGGACUCUCGUCCAGCGGUCGGCGACGAGUAUAUAGCUUAAUGCGAUCGUCUAGGAGAAAACGGGCGUAACGCGCUCGUUCGGCGUUUCAAGGGGUCUCCGUUACCGGAGCCGCCGUCGUCUGGAGUGCCGACGAGUUUCAGGAGACGCAAUUGGGGGUGUGCGAGGGAAGCAGGGAAGGAGAGAAGGGCGGAUAGGCGAAUGCUGGCUUCGUAGGGCUGGAGACGAGGAAGAGAGGGAGGAGGAGUAGGAGACGAGACGAGACGGGAGGAAAAGGAAGAGUAGGAGGAAGGGUGAAAGGAGAGAUGAAAACGGUAGCUGGGCUGGGAGAGGGGUGGAAGGGGUGUCGUUACGGUCCUGCACUGGCAGAGGGUGCGGUGCCGAAGGGAGCAGACGCGAUACUACGCUGCUGGAGAUUCCUAGAGGUUUGAGGUUUCGCGGCCUUUAUCCCGACGUCUCCUUUUCUCGUCUUCUUCUCGUCUUCCUGCUCUUACCCAGGCAAUCCAAAUAUCGAUGCAGGAAGGGAAAGUAAUUUUGAAGGAUAACGAAAUACGAUCUAAAGACAAUGCCCAGCUUUCUACUUGCGCCUCGAUACCGAGACAUAUUCAUAGAUCACUCGUUGCCAAUUAAGAUUUCAAAGCCCUUUCCCAUCGUUUUUAUCGGCAACUCGUAAAUUCAUCGAGGAAUAUCAGCGGUCUCGUAAAUCUUCGAGGAAAGAGAAAUGGCGGCGGAAAUCCAUGAGAAUUUUCUCCUCUUUACGAAUGCAGAAAAGUUCCGUCCUUGGAAAAGUCCCCGACGUAAUCGGCCGUGGAAUAGGUCGGCGGCGAGAGGGAGACGAGGGAUGUUACGCUCGCGAACCAAAAAGCGUUUUAAUUCCCUGGACGCUUAAUUCCGUGCGUACGAAUGGCACGCGUGAAUAUGCAUGACCCGACCGGCUUGGCCAGCCGAGCUAGCCAGACGAGCUAGCCAGCCAACCAGCCAGCCAGCCAGCCAGCCAGCCAGCCAGCCAACGUCGUAACUCCGUACGAACGAAGAACGAAGUCAGGCCAGGAGGUACCGUCGCUUUCGCCGAUUUUAUUUUGUUUCCCAACUUUUUCGUCGAAACCACGGGAACCUAUUAAAAUGCCGUUCGCCAUGA